rnacentral:lncRNA from 1 species
AAAAAACCACCAGCAGAGUUGUUGGCGAGCGCCGGCCUGCUGGCAGUUCUCAAUUGAGGCAUCUUGUAGUCCUGCGAGAAGUUUGUGUAGCUCAUAUCGGUGAGACAGUGAUUCAAGAACCAACCAGACAAUGAAUCAGCACAUCAGUAAAUGGACCAAGAAACCAUAAAUUUUCUUACAGUUCUGUUCUCGUUCUGCCCAGAUUUCUAUUGUUCUUCUCCUGGAUCUAUGCAACGAAUUCUUGGUGCCCCGGGCACUGUUGCUCUUCCCUUCCCCUGGAGGCGUGAAAUAUUUUUUUGGAUGAAAUUGCCAGAUUGGCAAGAAAUAUUCAGAGAGGACGUGAGCAACCUAUUCACCAAAUUCUAUGCACCUAUUGGCUAUUGCUCGGUUUCCGCCUCUCCGUGAUUUCUCCCAAUAUCAACGCGAUCCCUACGAGUCUAGGCCACCUGCAAGAAAAACACAAGGCAAACGAGAGCAACAGUUCAGACAAGAGCUUCAUCAAAACCAUGCAAAUCCCAGCCGCUCUACUCAUAUUCCCCAUCCUUGGCAGGUAUUCGAACCAAAAUAACCAGUCAAACACGUAAGAACAAAGAGACAGAGGCUGAACCAACAAAAUCCCACGGAAGAACCAACCAAACCCCUCCUGCUGUCCUUCGAUUCUCACCUCGAACAGGUUCUUUCAGCUCCUGAUCCCACCUCCGAAUCCUUAUCUGUCUGCAGAUCUGUGGUAACAGAACCAACAAAGAAGAACCGAAUCACGAACCGUCCGAAAAGAUGCAAGAACAUAGCCGCUGGAGAACAGCAAAGGUUGCUCACGAUUUUCGCUCCGCUCCUUUCCGAGCCGCGGCGAUCCGGCCCCCGCGACGGCUUCUUGAUACGAUAGGACCCUGCUUGGGGUGUGAUUUCUGGGUAGAUUCCCUAGGGUUUGAGCCUGGAUGGAGAUGGCUACUGGGUACUACUGGCU